GCACAGAGUUUUUGUAUCAUCGAUAUGUCUGAGCUAUAGAUUAUGUUUUCAUUGUUUUGGUUGUUUUGAUACCAGCUCUCGUGUUCCAUGGUAUGCAUUUCAUGUGUAGAGCAUGUCAUACACAAUAUCAAGAUGUAAACUGAUUAUUUUUUAUGUAAACUGUAAAGAUGUGAACUAUGCUUCAGUUCAAGAACAUUUAAAGUUUUUGAAUACAAGGUGAACUUGAGCAAAAGAAAGAGUUGUAUGUGCUUUGAUGUGUAAACAAGACGAUUCUAAGUUGCAACUCAAAGUUUUUACGUUUAAUUUGAUCAUCAGGCAACAGUUCUGCGAUGAUUUUAAAUUAUUUGUCUUCUUUGAUUGGGCAAUGAAUCUUAUAAAUCUUAUUCACUGUGUACGUUCAAGUGAUUCUUUGAAAACCAGAGUUUUUGUUGUUUUGUAUAAGAACCCCGGUCCUUGCGAACCAAUGCAACCCAGUGCACCAUGCUUAAUUGACAUGUUUCUUUGAAGGUGAAUUUGAAAGUUAAGGCGGUUAUUCCAAUGCAAAUUGAUGGCGAGCCAUGGAUGCAGCAGCCGUGUGACAUUGUGAUUCGGCCUACGGUCCAGCAGGCAAAAAUGCUCGCAAAAAACACCCCACUUCGAAAAAGGCUAUCGUCAAAGACUUUGGGACAAAAGUCUGUCUCGACGCAAGAAUAAGAAUUAUUUAUCAUAAAAGGUUUUUGAUUAGUGUUAAAUAUAGAUAGAAUUCUUUAGAUGAGAUUGAUUCUCGAAAUUAUUGGUCAGGCAACCAAAUAUAACAUUUUUAAUCGUUCUGGUAAUCUAGUUAUAUUGCGCCGUUGUAUUUAAUGAUUUCUUGUAAUUUUGUUCCAUUUCAAUGUCAUUGUUGACUUUUUUUAAGUUGAUAGGCUCCCUAACAAUUAAUCCUUUGAAGUAAAUCAUUAAUGAUUGCUGUAAAAUAGAAUAUUUGAAACUAACCUUUGUCCAAAGCUGCCUAGUCUUUGUAGAAUCUUGUUUUUCCUCAUAUUUAAAUCUAUGUAAAUCCUAACCAGCCUAGGAAAAACGAUAAUUUCCAUAGGAUCAACUGAGAAAUGAACUUUUCUGCCUCAGAAAGUUUUGGAGCUGUUAAAAAUUGGUUGAAAUUCAAUUUUUACAGCAAUAAUAGAUUAUUUGGUUACUCUUGGCAGAAGCAUAUUUGGUUAUUGCUCGUCUUUUCUUCCGGUUAUUUGUGCAAAUUCUGGCGCUCUAAAUGCUUAUUUAAGUAGAAAUUAAACUGCUAAGCAAGUCAGUGGCAAACAAGCAGACUUAUUCCUAGACAGACCGCUACCUUUGAAAAAUUUAUGUUUAUGUUUAUGUUUAUGAAGGCAUCAUUCUACUCAAGCAGCAAGGGUUUUCUGCUGAGAUAACUGCUCCGUAUUUGCUAUAAGCUAAAACCAUUCUCCAAUCUAAUUGAAUGCAUACCAAUGUUAAGUCCCUUACUUAGAGUGGAGUUGGGUGAUAUUCAGGUAAUCUAUAAAAUUUUAGAUUAAUGUAAUGUUACGAUUAAUGCAAUUAAUGCCCCUUCAAUGCUCCGUGACCCCUUUCUCUUUUCAACGUAAUUCAACGUAACAGAUUUUUGAUGCUUAACUUUUUCUCUUCACAUGUGCACUUCUCUUAAGUUAUCAACGGCGCAUUUUUUACUAUAAUGUUAAGGGUAAUUAACAUUGAAUAUCUUAGGGUAAUAUUCGGGCACGUUAAGCCAAAUAUCGCAUCACAUGCGUAUCACGAGAAAUUAUAGCAAAGAAACAUGAUAAUUUCA